AUUGAACGCUGGCGGCAUGCUUUACACAUGCAAGUCGAACGGUAACAGGCCGCAAGGUGCUGACGAGUGGCGAACGGGUGAGUAAUGCAUCGGAACGUGCCCAGUCGUGGGGGAUAACUACUCGAAAGAGUAGCUAAUACCGCAUACGAUCUAUGGAUGAAAGCGGGGACCGUAAGGCCUCGCGCGAUUGGAGCGGGCGAUGUCAGAUUAGGUAGUUGGUGGGGUAAAGGCUCACCAAGCCAACGAUCUGUAGCGGGUCUGAGAGGACGACCAGCCACACUGGGACUGAGACACGGCCCAGACUCCUACGGGAGGCAGCAGUGGGGAAUUUUGGACAAUGGGCGCAAGCCUGAUCCAGCAAUGCCGCGUGCAGGAAGAAGGCCUUCGGGUUGUAAACUGCUUUUGUACGGAACGAAACGGCUCUGGUUAAUACCCGGGGCUAAUGACGGUACCGUAAGAAUAAGCACCGGCUAACUACGUG
rnacentral:rRNA from 1 species